UUUCCGUAGGUGAACCUGCGGAAGGAUCAUUAUUGUAUAACCGAGGUGGAAGGGCUGUUGCUGACCCGAAAGGUCGUGCACGCCAGUGUGCCUUCACACACAUCCAUCCCACCCCUUUUUUCACCACCGCGUGAGUCCCUCUUUGGCUUGUUCGGGGGGUUGUUUACGUUUUCACACAAACUUUUUAUGCAGUGUAGAAUGUAUUUUUUGUCAAUGCGUUCUCGCAAUCAAUACAACUUUCAACAACGGAUCUCUUGGCUCUC
rnacentral:misc_RNA from 1 species